UACUAGAGUAGCACUCGCAUAUCAAUAAGCGGAGGAAAAGAAACUAACAAGGAUUCCCUUAGUAACGGCGAGUGAAGCGAGAAGAGCUCAAAUUUGAAAUCUUCAAGGUUUUACCUUGACGAAUUGUAGUUUAAAGAAGUGUUUUCUGUUGGAGUUUUGGUAAAAGUUCUUUGGAAUAGGACAUCAUAGAGGGUGAGAAUCCCGUAUUUGACCAUUACUUUCCAGCUGUGUGAUACACUUUCAAAGAGUCGGAUUGUUUGGGAAUGCAGUCCAAAAUGGGUGGUAAAUUUCAUCUAAAGCUAAAUAUUGGCGAGAGACCGAUAGCGAACAAGUACCGUGAGGGAAAGAUGAAAAGAACUUUGAAAAGAGAGUUAAACAGUACGUGAAAUUGUCAAAAGGGAAGCGUUUGACACCAGUGUUGUUUUCUCGAAAAUCAAUUAAAAAUGAUGGGAUUUUGUGUUGUAUUGACUUUAUCAGCUUUCUGCACUUUUUUCUUAUCUUUUUUAAUGCACUUUUCGUUUAACAAGUCAACAUCAAUUUCUUUUGUUGUAAAAGGGUAUGAGGAAGGUGGCUUACUCUUCGGCGGAGAAGUGUUUAUAGCCUUGUACCUCUGCAAUCGGAGAGAUUGAGGAUCUGCAGCGUAGACUCCUUCGGGGUUAGAUACACUUGUGCUAAGCUAUAGCCUUGUAUAGACAACUUGUUGACUAUGCUCAGUCAUGUAGGCUUACUCGCUUAUGCUAUUUUACCUACGCUUAGGAUGUUGAAGAUGUAGCACAUCAUC
rnacentral:rRNA from 1 species